UAAAUUCCAAUAUUUCCCCUACUUUAAUUUUAUUGAAUUUGCAUUACACGGCUUAUAGGAUACUUGAUUUUUUUUGUCGGAUAGUUUAGUUGUUAGAAAAUUAUCUUUUAAGAUGAAUAAAUGGAUGUAGCAGGGUUUGAACCUUAAUCUAUGCAUAUUACAUGCAAUGUCCCUACCAACUCAUGAGCCAUGCUCACAAGACUAAUAUAGGAGACUUUAACGAUAUAACAAUUAGUUGUCUGUAAAACACAAUUAAUGAUAUCAUAAUUUGAAAACUGUUUGUUUAACUAUAGUUAGGCUAUAUUAAAUUUUUUUCCCCUCGUGUUUCACUUUGC
rnacentral:lncRNA from 1 species